GACGAACGCUGGCGGCGUGCCUAAUACAUGCAAGUAGAACGCUGAAGGAGGAGCUUGCUUCUCUGGAUGAGUUGCGAACGGGUGAGUAACGCGUAGGUAACCUGCCUGGUAGCGGGGGAUAACUGUUGGAAACGAUAGCUAAUACCGCAUAAGAGUAGAUGUUGCAUGACAUUUGCUUAAAAUGUGCAAUUGCAUCACUACCAGAUGGACCUGCGUUGUAUUAGCUAGUUGGUGGGGUAACGGCCCACCAAGGCGACGAUACAUAGCCGACCUGAGAGGGGGAUCGGCCACACUGGGACUGAGACACGGCCCAGACUCCUACGGGAGGCAGCAGUAGGGAAUCUUCGGCAAUGGACGGAAGUCUGACCGAGCAACGCCGCGUGAGUGAAGAAGGUUUUCGGAUCGUAAAGCUCUGUUGUAAGAGAAGAACGAGUGUGAGAGUGGAAAGUUCACACUGUGACGGUAUCUUACCAGAAAGGGACGGCUAACUACGUG
rnacentral:rRNA from 1 species